AAAAGGGCGGCGCCACGCUCAGUUCCACCACUAGUGGAAGCACGUCUGUGCCUCCUUAUAAUUGGCCUGGGAGGGGCGUCGAUCUCUUUCUCUUCCGGUCGCAGGAACGGCAGCGGCAGCCAUGAAUGACACAGUGACCAUCCGAACCAGGAAGUUCAUGACCAACAGACUUCUGCAGCGCAAGCAGAUGGUCAUUGAUGUUCUUCAUCCUGGAAAGGCCACAGUCCCCAAAACAGAAAUCAGGGAAAAGCUGGCAAAAAUGUACAAGACAACCCCUGAUGUAAUUUUCGUCUUCGGCUUCAGAACUCACUUUGGUGGUGGCAAGACAACUGGUUUUGGCAUGAUCUAUGAUUCCCUGGACUAUGCAAAGAAAAACGAACCCAAGCACAGGCUUGCCAGGCACGGCUUGUAUGAAAAGAAGAAGACUUCCAGGAAGCAGCGAAAAGAGCGUAAGAACAGGAUGAAGAAAGUCAGGGGCACAGCCAAGGCAAAUGUUGGUGCUGGCAAGAAGAAGGUAAACUCUGUGUUGUAUAGCUUGUCAUCAGCUCAGUAGCUUAGUUUUGCUCCUCACUGCUGCCAGCCUAGCUGAUAUGACAUGAAACAAUGCUUCCUAAAUUACUCUUUCCUAUGUGUCACUGUUAAACUUCAUAAAUCUAACAGUGUUGCUCUAAUCACAUAACUCAGUCUCGCAAUACACACUUGAGAUUAUCUUAACACUUGUUAAUCAGGCUGCCUAAACCCCUAAUGCUUACUCCACCCAGUUACUGUUGGUAUGGUGUUCCUUACCCAGGUAAGUUUGUUAAGGAUGUGUGGUGUAGGCAGUGAAGACAGUGUGUAAGAAAGAUAAGGUAGAAUGCCUUGGGGUUUGAGGGGCUGAUGCCCAAGGUACUGGAGCCUUCCUCUGCUGAGGCUAGACUGAUAGAGCCCCCUGGGCUGUGGCUGUGACCUCAUAAAGGCAGGUUAGGGGGAGGCAGACUUCUUCUAUCAGGAAACAGAACCAAAUCUGAGGAAUAGGUUGGGUGGGAAGCCAGUCACUUUCCCUCACAGUGUUCUGUCUUCUGAUAAAAAUUAAAUAAGCUGUGCAGGCAAGUGAGUUUUUUUCAGGUGUUUUAGCAAGGGGAGAGAGGGUAAUGGGUUGUGAUGCUUAGUUCUGUAGCUGUGAAAAUACCUUGAUAUCUUGAACUGUAGUAAUCUUCACUUUUGCUUUUUUCCUACUUUCUUGGAACUCUCCAUCAGAAAUGAAGUAUCUGCAGUAAAUGAACAUUCUUCAGGUGGACAACAGAUAACAGGCAGCAUCAUUCUAUGAAGAAAUAGAGAAUGAAUAACUCUGGAAAGCAGAGGAUGCUCAUCUGAAUUUAACAUCAAUAAAAUCUGUCAAUAAAA